CUGACGCUCUUUCAAGACAAAGCGUAUUGUGUUUGUUCCUUAAUUUGUUAGCCUCUCUUGUACACCAAGUCCAUUAACUUCGAUUGGGAAUUGGCAAAUUCCUACCUCGGCAUUUAAUUCGGAAACGGAAUGUAAUAGGUUAAAGCUCAACUGACAAAUAAUUUGACUAACAAGCAGCAAUGCCGCAUUGGGAGGAAGCAACUAAAUUGAAGAAGAAUAGGUCUGUAUACCAUGGACACACCUUAUUUGGUAGCAUUUGGCGGUGGUAGCCGCCCCCGCAAUCCAGGCUUCCAGACACCGAACAUACCCCUAUUUUGUACGCUUAACGGGUAUAAAAAUGAUCUAUUGUUGUGCUGGGGAGAAGGAGCUGCUGGUGCUCCUGCUCCUGCUGCUAUCUCUGCUGAAUAAAUGGAACGAAAAGAGGCUGCGGACCAAGAGCUACGGAGGACUCCCGGCCCGACUCUUGCGAGCGUAACUUGCGGCGGCUGCCCCGAAAAGUUAAGUGAAUUGUGCAAAGUUUCUCGCUUGCUGCAAAUUUGUUCGAGGCACAGAAAAAAGUUGCAAAAAGAGGAGAGGGGCCCAGCUCAUGCUCCUGCUCGUAUGCCCAUCCAUGACCAGCCAAAAGGUAAAUAUGCCGAAGCAGCAAAAGCAACAAUGCCGAUACAAUGGGCCCCUGAAAUGUGCUCCCAGAUGCAAAAAUGGUUUCUGUGGUUUCAAUGGCAACGCGACGCGACGCUACUCGACUCGGCUCGACUCGACUCCGUUCCAAGGAGGAACGGAGGAGAACUCUGUUCCGACACGGGGUGAACCGCUAACGCUGUGAAAUUUAACGUCCUGAACUUUUAUGGUGUUGUGCCCGGCCGGGCUGCCACCAGGUGGUGCACACACCUGUGCCACCAGUUGCAUUGACACAAGCCCCAUAAAAUGAAAAGU
rnacentral:sRNA from 1 species